rnacentral:rRNA from 1 species
CCUUUUAUGCAAGUCGAACGGUAGCACAGGAAAGCUUGCUCUCUGGGUGACGAGUGGCGGACGGGUGAGUAAUGCAUGGGGAGCUGCCCAAUCGAGGGGGAUACCAGCUGGAAACGGCUGCUAAUACCGCAUACCCCCUGAGGGGGAAAGGUGGGGACCUUUGGGCCUACCGCGAUUGGAUGCACCCAUGUGGGAUUAGCUAGUUGGUGAGGUAACGGCUCACCAAGGCGACAAUCUCUAGCUGGUCUGAGAGGAUGACCAGCCACACUGGAACUGAAACACGGUCCAAACUCCUACGGGAGGCAGCAGUGGGGAAUAUUGCACAAUGGGGGAAACCCUGAUGCACCCAUGCCGCGUGUGUGAAAAAGGCCUUCGGGUUGUAAAGUACUUUCAGCGGGGAGGAAGGUGUUGUGGUUAAUAACCACAGCAAUUGACGUUACCCGCAAAAAAAGCACCGGCUAACUCCGUG